AUGAUCAGACGUGUGUCUGAUCAGAUGCAGGUCAUUGGGGGAGCUUGCAAUGAGUUGGAGCCACUUGGAUUCCCUGCCCCUGUGCAGCACCAGCCCACAUCACUGGAACAUCUUCCCCUCAGAACAGUCGUGGGUGGAAGCUGCUGAGCUGUGCUGGUGAAGGUCAAGCACCUUGGAAAUUGCCAAGUCCUAUGUUGUUGUCUGAGGCUGAGCAUGGGGACUCACUGGUGGGUGGUGGUAGCUGAGGGGUUGGUAUCAGGGCACUAAAUCCACACUUGGGGCUGUUGUCUACUGCUAUGGAAGGUCAGGUCCACGGGUUUACUAGCAUCCAUUUAAUUUAAGAAAAAUUAAUAAAAAAGCAUAAAACAUUUGGUUUGUUAGAAUUGUUGCGAGAAGAUUUUAAAAAGCAUAUUUCAAAGCUUUGCUUAAUAAGGAUGCGUGGCUCUCUUGCCUUUCUUCACUGGUUUAACAGGAUGCAAUGAAGAUGCUGUCCCUCUCCAGCAUCUGUUAGAAUGAUGAUUGAGUUACCUGAAUGUGGAGGAGGGUUUUUUAAGUGUUCGGAGUAGGGGCAGGCUGGUAACCAAGCAAGGUUUAAAUCUUACAAGGCUGUAUUUCUCUUCUCUCCAAACUACUGAAAGUAUUUCUUUGCGAGGAGAAUUUUCCUGCACUCCCGAGUAAGUGUUGCAAGAGAAUAUUUAAAACAUUGCUGGCGGUGCCUUCUAGCACUAAACCUAAUUAAGUUUCUUUCAUGUCUUGGAGGACUGCACAUGCUUGCUUUCAGGAGGAUGGCAAAGCGCCGGCACUGCCAGGAGAUCUGUGUCAAUGUGUGAGGUACCUCUGCAGUAAAAAGUAAAUGACAGUCAGAAAUUGGUAGCUGGUGCUUAUAAUACAGACCCAAGAAGCUAAGAUUGACAUUUGCUGGCAGCAGCCAUCUCUCAGUGAGAUCUCUCCACCACUGCCAACCAGCUCUUCCAGGCUGUGCAGUCUGGCACAGAAAGAGACAAAGCCAGACUGAGUCAUUUACAAAAACAAGGCGCCGCCCAUUAUUUUAGCACGCUGGAGUGGACUACUGCUGGGAGAUCUCGAGUGCCAAACAAUAAAUGAAUCCUCUCCGGUUAAUCGUCACCCCUGCCAAUGAGACGGAGCUUUUGGAUGGCGAUUACAUUAAAAAUCCUACAGACUUUGAUCAUAAUAGACAACAUUGCUAUAGCAACCAAAGUAUGAAACACUAAUAACUGAGCUGACUGGACAGACUGAAAAAUUCAGUGGCAACCCUGAUGUACAGAGGGUAACUGGAUCCAGAGGAAAGUCUUGUGCCUCUG